AGUGAACGCUGGCGGUAGGCCUAACACAUGCAAGUCGAACGGCAGCACAGUAAGAGCUUGCUCUUACGGGUGGCGAGUGGCGGACGGGUGAGGAAUACAUCGGAAUCUACUUUUUCGUGGGGGAUAACGUAGGGAAACUUACGCUAAUACCGCAUACGACCUACGGGUGAAAGCAGGGGAUCUUCGGACCUUGCGCGAUUGAAUGAGCCGAUGUCGGAUUAGCUAGUUGGCGGGGUAAAGGCCCACCAAGGCGACGAUCCGUAGCUGGUCUGAGAGGAUGAUCAGCCACACUGGAACUGAGACACGGUCCAGACUCCUACGGGAGGCAGCAGUGGGGAAUAUUGGACAAUGGGCGCAAGCCUGAUCCAGCCAUACCGCGUGGGUGAGGAAGGCCUUCGGGUUGUAAAGCCCUUUUGCUGGGAAAGAAAAGCAGCAGGUUAAUACCCCGCUGUUCUGACGGUACCCAAAGAAUAAGCACCGGCUAACUUCGUG
rnacentral:rRNA from 1 species